GACGAACCGUGCGAACGUUGUUCGGAUUCACUGAGCGUAAAGGGCGCGUAGGCGGCCUGCUAAGUCGGAUGUGAAAUCCCUCGGCUCAACCGAGGAACUGCAUCCGAUACUGGCGGGCUUGAAUCCGGGAGAGGGAUGUGGAAUUCCAGGUGUAGCGGUGAAAUGCGUAGAUAUCUGGAGGAACACCGGUGGCGAAGGCGGCAUCCUGGACCGGUAUUGACGCUGAGGCGCGAAAGCUAGGGGAGCAAACGGG
rnacentral:rRNA from 1 species